rnacentral:rRNA from 1 species
UACGUAGGGUGCGAGCGUUAAUCGGAAUUACUGGGCGUAAAGCGUGCGCAGGCGGUUCGUUGUGUCUGUGGUGAAAUCCCCGGGCUUAACCUGGGAAUGGCCAUGGAAACUGGCGAGCUUGAGUGUGGCAGAGGGGGGUGGAAUUCCGCGUGUAGCAGUGAAAUGCGUAGAGAUGCGGAGGAACACCGAUGGCGAAGGCAGCCCCCUGGGCUAACACUGACGCUCAGGCACGAAAGCGUGGGGAGCAAACAGG